rnacentral:rRNA from 1 species
UACGGGGGGGGCGAAGCGUUGUUCGGAAUUACUGGGCGUAAAGGGCUCGUAGGCGGCCAACUAAGUCGGAUGUGAAAUCCCCAGGCUCAACCUGGGAACUGCAUCCGAUACUGGAUGGCUUGAAUUCGGGAGAGGGAUGCAGAAUUCCAGGUGUAGCGGUGAAAUGCGUAGAUAUCUGGAGGAAUACCGGUGGCGAAGGCGGCAUCCUGGACCGACAUUGACGCUGAGGAGCGAAAGCCAGGGGAGCAAACGGG